AUUUUUUUUAAAGUAAUUUUUGCUAAAAUCAACUAAUCAAUCCAUCUUAAAUAUGUUUAUAUUCUUUUUUUUUAAUCUACCUUAUUUUUUCUUAUUUAUGGCCAUAUAAAAUAAAUAAAAUCUAAUUCUAUAAAAAGUAAUUUUAAUACUACAAGAUUUUAUUACUUGUCAAGGUCAUAAAUCUUAAAAAAAGAAAUCCUCAAUAUACUCUUGUAUUACUGAAAAUGACUAAAAAGCUACUAAAAGAUGAUAUAAUAUUGAACCAAAAUGACUAUUGCCAAAAAUAAGAGGACUCAAAAGUCUUGAAAUAAGACUAAGGACUAAAAAGGCAUUGUCAAGAGUGAAGAAGGCUUCACCCUUGCUUCUAUAUACUCUUAACUAGGAGCUAUGUGAUAAUAUCUUAUAAGACCUCCAAAAUGUGUUGACUUUGUAAGACAUGUAUCUUAACUUGCAAGUCAAGUUUUCUAUAAUUAGCUUUUUCUGCAAGCUAUCGAUAUGUGGUUAACUUAUUGACCAAGUUUUUAACCUAUCAAUCAACUAUAAAUACAUUUAAAGUCAUAGCAACAUCUAUGAAGCUUCUUUAAAAGGUAUUAUGAAAUUAAUAUACUUUUAUCUAUUUUUACCUACUUCUACAUAAUUGUAUAGGUAUUUACUAGAAUACAUAUGUAUAUUUGUGACAUUACCUCUCCUUCUAAGGAUAAGUUUCAUGAAGAAUAGU
rnacentral:lncRNA from 1 species